UAAUAUAUUCAUGCUCUAUGGCCAUCCCCAUCCAAUUUCAUCUGAUCUCAGAAGCCAAGCACGGGCAGGCCUAGUUUGUUCUUGGAUGGGAGACUGCCUGGGAAUACCAGGUGUUAUAAGUU
rnacentral:rRNA from 1 species